CUAAUGUUUCCCCCGGACCAACUUUCCGUUCAGAUCAACUUUCCGUCUGUGCCAACGUUCGCCGCGAUUACCGUUCUGCUGUGUACCUGUUUUAAGAAGAAACAACAAGGAAGUGAAACCAAAGACGGGCAGCCCGGCGCCAGGCCCGAAACCAGGCCUGGGCCUGCCUGGCCUAAACCCAGUUUCAUGUGUGUGAAGAGACCACCAAACGUGUGUGAAGAGACCACCAAACAGGCUUUGUUUACUUCAGGCCAUCUGGAUGUAUACGUGCAAGUCACAGGGGAUGCGAUGGCUUGGCUUGGGCUCAGAGGCCUCACACCCAGUAGCUAAAAAUCAACUCAUAACUUAGAAACCUAUGUUAUUCAUAGAUUCCAGACAUUGUAUAGAAGAACGUUGUGAAACUCCCUGCCCUGUUCUGUUUCUCUCUUACCACUGGUGCAUGCAGCCCCUGUCACGUACCACCUACUUGCUCAAAUCAAUCACGACCCUUUCAUGUGAAAUCUUUAGUGCUGUGAGGAGCCCUUAAAAGGGACAGAAAUUGUGCAUUCGGGGAGCUCGGAUUUUAAGGCAGUAGCUUGCCGAUGCUCCCAGCUGAAUAAAGCCCUUCCUUCUAC